UUCAGAUCAAUGAUGUGAUAAAAAUACUGCGUUAUCUAUCUUAAAAUCUCCGUAAUAGGAGUUGCGGAAACUAAACAGAAAACGCUGAGAUCUGAA
rfam:Arabis alpina cultivar Pajares chromosome 4, whole genome shotgun sequence.